rnacentral:rRNA from 1 species
UGGCUUAGAAGCAGCCAUCCUUUAAAGAAAGCGUAAUAGCUCACUGGUCAAGUGAACCUGCGCCGAAAAUGUAACGGGGCUCAAGCAACGUACCGAAGCUGCGGAUGGGAGUCAGGACUGCGGUCCUGGCCCCGUGGUAGGCGAGCAUUCCAUGGGCUGCGAAGGUCAACGGGAACGAUGGCUGGAGCGCAUGGAAGAGCUUAUGCAGGCUUGAGUAGCGAUAAAACAGGUGAAAAACCUGUUCGCCGUAAGCCCAAGGGUUCCUGGGUCAAGUUCAUCUUCCCAGGGUUAGUCGGUCCCUAAGGCGAGGCCGAAAGGCGUAGCUGAUGGGAAGCAGGUUAAUAUUCCUGCACCGCCUUCGAAUGUUUCCACAGGGGGGACGGAGAAACGUAGCCGAGCCGGAUAUUGGAUACCGGUUCAAGCCCGUAGGGAGUCACGCUAGGAGGCCUAGUGCCACAAACGGCGUGACAAUCCUGAGAGGUGAUGAGGAGGACGCUUGCGUCCAUAAACUCGGUGAUCGUCCGCUUCCAAGAAAAGCCUCGAUGGAGUCAACUGCUAGGGCGACCGUACCGCAAACCGACACAGGUGGGCGGGGAGAAGAUCCCAAGGCGCUUGAGAGAACCCUGCCUAAGGAACUCGGCAAAAUGACACCGUAACUUCGGGAGAAGGUGUGCCCUCGUUACGUGAACCGCGCACGCGGGGAGCGGACGGGGGUUGCAGAGAAUCGGGGGUAGCGACUGUUUACCAAAAACACAGCGCUCUGCGAAGUCGCAAGACGACGUAUAGGGCGUGACGCCUGCCCGGUGCUGGAAGGUUAAGAGGAGGAGUCAGCGCAAGCAAAGCUCCGAAUCGAAGCCCCAGUAAACGGCGGCCGUAACUAUAACGGUCCUAAGGUAGCGAAAUUCCUUGUCGGGUAAGUUCCGACCUGCACGAAUGGCGUAACGACUUCCCCACUGUCUCGGGCAGGGACUCAGCGAAGUAGCACUGGGGGUGAAGAUACCCUCUACCCACGGCAGGACGGAAAGACCCCGUGAACCUUCACUACAGUUUGACACUGAUUGACGAAAUUUUCUGCGUAGUCUAGGUGGGACGCUUUGAAGCCGGGAUUCUGGUCUCGGUGGAGCGGCAAUAUGAAAAACCACCCUGAAAAUUUUGGCAAUCUAACCUACACCCCUGAGCGGGGUGGGGGACACUGUCUGAUGGGUAGUUUGACUGGGGCGGUCGCCUCCCAAAGAGUAACGGAGGCGCGCGAAGGUCCCCUCAGCCUGAUUGGAAACCAGGCGCCGAGUGUAAUGGCAUAAGGGGGCUUGACUGCGAGUCCGACGAGACGAGCAGGUACGAAAGUAGGUCAUAGUGAUCCGGUGGCUCCAUAUGGAAGGGCCAUCGCUCAACGGAUAAAAGGUACUCCGGGGAUAACAGGCUUAU